AAGUCGAGGGGAAACGACAUCGAAAGCUUGCUUUGAUGGGCGUCGACCGGCGCACGGGUGAGUAACGCGUAUCCAACCUGCCCAUCACUUGGGGAUAACCUUGCGAAAGUAAGACUAAUACCCAAUGAUAUCUCUAGAAGACAUCUGAAGGAGAUUAAAGGAUUCCGGUAAAGGAUGGGGAUGCGUUCCAUUAGGUUGUUGGUGAGGUAACGGCUCACCAAGCCUUCGAUGGAUAGGGGUUCUGAGAGGAAGGUCCCCACAUUGGAACUGAGACACGGUCCAAACUCC
rnacentral:rRNA from 1 species